AAUCAUACCAAUUUUGCCUUCAACUCUCCCUCUCUCUCUUUUCUUCGAUAGAAUUGAUCUUUUCAAAAACAGAUCACGUUCUCUUUCUCUCUCUACUUUUACUAGAAGGACUGUGCAUCUCCGCCGGCGCACCAUCCAGUCUCCGUCACUGCCUCAUGACUAUGAGUCUCCACUGACACACCAUCUUGUCUUCGCCGGCAUCCAAUUGUUGGAAGGAUCGCAUCUCCGCCUGCACACUGUCCCGUUUCUACCGCAAUGAAGAAUCAUUUCUAGGCAACGAUCUCGAAGCCCGACGAAGGCUGUGGUAGUCAGGCACCUUUAAUCUCAACAAAGCUCCACUGCGUAUCUUCGGCAAUGAUCUGAUUGGCUUCUUUCUACCAAAUAGGUGGAGAUGGCAAAGGUGCUUGUGGAGAUGAGGCAAAUUCACUUGUUCAAGCAUUAGGCCGAGCUUGGCUUUGAUGAUGAGGAAAAGAAAGCGUUCUUUAAUCAAGUUAGGAGUUUUUUGGGCCUUUCUUUGUGUAGAAUGUUUUGCUUAUUUAGUGGUUGGGAUCUGAGAUUGGAUUUUGGUGCGAAGAUGUGGAGGCAUUGGAUGAAAGUGAUAGUUUGGUGUUUGUUUUGAUGGAGUUGGACUUAAAUUUUAGUUGAAUAAGAUCCAAACCAUGUAGAACAAUAUAUGUCAAGACAAAUAGGGACUUAUCUGGAUUGCAAAUUCAGGUGACUGCGCUCAAUUCAAGCUGUCUAGGGGUUUUGGCAUCAUAUAUCAAAACUGCUAGAGAACUGUUAGCAGAUUCAAAAGCUGGCAAGAAUCCAUUUGAUGGCUUUACACCUUCAGUAUGUUAAUACAGGCCUCAUUAGAAUCAUAUCAAUUAUGUAAAUUUGCAGUAGUAGAUUCCGAAGAUCAUGUAAAUUUGAGUAGUGCCUCCACUGACCAAGAGAUCAUUCGGCCAACCAAGAAAUGUAGAAAUGAAGUCUCAUGCUGAAGGUGGCAAAAUUAUGCCUAUGGAUUUAGAGUGUCAUCAUUGAAAAAUGAUAGUAGCAUUACCACAUUGACAGUAGCUUUAUAGUAGUGACUUUUUACAACUACAGAAGUAGCUUUUACAUAAUUAUAUCAUUUUUGAAUUCUGCGUA